GCCAUGGCGCGGGAUUCUCGGGAGGCAGCAGCAAGGAAUUUUGGGCAAUGGGCGAMAGCCGGACCCAGCGACGCCGUGUGGGGGAYGACGGCCYUCGGGUUGUAAACCCUUUUUCUCAGGGAAGAAUAAUGACGGUACCUGAGGAAUAAGUCUCGGCCAACUACGUGCCAGCAGCCGCGGUAAUACGUAGGAGGCAAGCGUUAUCCGGAUUUACUGGGCGUAAAGUGGGUGUAGGCGGCUUUUCAAGUCGGAUGUGAAAUCUCCCGGCUUAACCGGGGAGGGGUCAUUCGAUACUUGUUUGGGCUUGAGGGCAGGAGAAGGAGGUGGAAUUCCCGGUGUAGUGGUGAAAUGCGUAGAUAUCGGGAGGAACACCAGUGGCGAAGGCGGCCUCCUAGGCUGUUCCUGACGCUGAGGCCCGAAAGCGUGGGGAGCGAACAGGAUUAGAUACCCUGGUAGUCCACGCCGUAAACGAUGGACACUAGGUAUAGGGAGUAUCGACCCUCUCUGUGCCGCAGUUAACACAUUAAGUGUCCCGCCUGGGGAGUACGGCCGCAAGS
rnacentral:rRNA from 1 species